GAAUGUUAGUUACAGCCACAGCCAUCAUAAAGAGGGACUGUUUGACAACAACUUUCUAAAAUGGAGAACAAAUAAUGUUAAGUCAGCACAAAAACAGCACAAUCAUGUGUCUGCGGUAUUCAUGUUCACUGAAUUGAGCAUAAGUGAGCAUGUUUCACAACAAAGUGGAGUCAAUUUGAACAAUCAGCGGGACACAGAAAGGAUCGAUAUCGACAUGAACUCAACAUGAACUCACAGAGAUAGACUGUCUUUAUUUUGAGUAUUGAACAUGUCCAACCUUAUGACAGGAAUGUUGAACAUAGCAGUAACAGUGACUGACUGAGAUGCUUAUUUUCAUCCUGUCAACCGAAUAGUUACAAUGAUACAGAUUUGAGAUCAAAGCUAAAUUGCUUUUAAGCAUGUUUGAGAUCUAGAAACUCACCAGUUAAUACUCAAGAAUACAGCAGCUCUGCCAAUAGAAAUAACUGUACUCUUGUUAUAAAAGCAUGCUUUGAUCCCCCCCUCUAUCGCUUUCUCACAGCCCGUUGGAUGUCUAUUAUUAGCCUGUGUGUUGAUAGAUAUGUAGCUGCACGUUCCAAUUCCCUCUCUAAGAAGCGUGUGGCUGCAGAGCACAGCUUGCUAGCUAGAGCCACUCGGCAGGGACGGCGCUCUGUGAUAUCUCGUUCUUCUUACAAUGACACAGCUUCGGCUUGCUGUGUUCGCUGCGAGCACGGCUGAUCCCCGGAGCGGCGGGGGAUGGAGAAAGGGGGUUGGUUUAAAUACAUCCAUCAUCAGGCAUGUGCCCUGUCAAGAUGACCUUGAGCAAAGUGACAAACUCCUCCCCACCCACUGGCUCCAAGUCGCUCUGGAAAACAGCAGCAGCUAAUAGCUGAAGGUAGAAAUAGGCCAAAUUAAAUUGGAUCACGCUAUAUAAUGGAGGAUUAAGAAGCCGCCGAAGCAGCAGUGUUCGUUUGUUGAGGAAUGAAUGGGAAGUGAGCAGGCAACUGAUGUUUGCAGAGGAAUUCCAGUCUCAGACAGGGUUGACUGGGAUUUUGGAGGAUUAGCCACAGAGAGACAUAAACAGCCUGUUAGCCCUGUAGCUGUGAUCCUUUCCUCCCCUCUGUAGGUCAUGAGAUGCUAGUAUCACAAGCCAAACAGCUGGGCAUCUCCAGAUGUAGGCUUACCAGGAGCUAACUCUAAAGAUGAUCAUGAAGCAACUUGUCAUGUGUCAGAUGAGUUUGAGAUUAUCAGUGGAUACGGCUACAAGACAUCCUUAAAAAUUAGCAUCCAAAUUGUUUAAACCCCUUAAGAAUUAAAUAUAAUUCCUCGUCUUAGUUAUCUGGCUAAGUGGUAAUCCUGCUACAAUAAUUUUGCCCAGGAGGGGGAUGACGAUGAAUCGUUGGCUGUUGGGUUGAAAUAUUUUUUAUAUAUAUCUUACAGGAAACAAAAAGACUGUGUAUGUACAGAAAGGCGUUGUUAAGUGAUAUUUUUUAAUAUUAACAUUGAAUCAAGUGACGGAAUUACAACUAGCAGCACCUAUUCCACUGAAAUCAACAAACUGCAUCUACAAUGGAUUUAGGUUAUUUUGGCUUUUGCUCUAGCUAGUAUUGCUAUUUUCAAGCAAAGUUCAGACAGAGCACAGAAGAAAAUAUGUUGGCUCACUAUUGCAGACACCCAGGUUCAGACUCUACUUGCAAAUCUUAAUGUAAUUGUGCAAAGUGUACUCAAAAGAUACAAAUCUGCUCAGCCUAUUUCUGUGUAUUGAUUAAAGUAAUUGGUAGUAAGGUAAAUGCAUUUCUUGCAAAAACAGAGAAACAAUACACCUAAACAGACCAUCCAGUCCGUUUGCAACCCUUGAAAGAUUAAUGCAAGAUACGCCGUACAAGACACGCAGAUUAAAGAAAAUCCACCUGACUGACUUUAGUAUAUUCAUACGGCCACUAUUUCUUCAGAUACAAAAAACUAACUGAGAAUCUACCUCAUACAAUAAGUUCCUUCAAUCAGACCUCAAUAAAACUGUCCUCCUUGAUUAUUACUACAAAAAACAGUCGAAAUCCUAACACCAAAGCAAGAUGCCAGGUUAAUCUUAAAACAGCAGUGAGUCUGUGCCUCAUCUUGAACAGACGGCUUUGUCCCACCUGUACAUGUCUCAUCUUGGUGAGUUAGUGAGCAGUCUGGUUGAUAUUCUGCCUCAGAGGUCCCUGCUGUACCCUCUGUGUUUGCUUCACCCACUCAUGUGUCCAGAGAUGUUCACAACAACAUCUGCUGGCGACAUACACAGUAGAUGAAGAUAUUUUUUACUGCCAAGGCAAUGUCACAGCACGUGACUCAUUAAAACCUCCCUGGGCGGUAUAUAGAUUCAUCUGCAUUCAUCUCUGCAGAUGUAUUCAGUCAUGACUAUAUCCUCAUAUCAACAGCUGCAUCAAAAUGAUUAAGUGUACUGUUUACAGGCUCAUAUAGCAUUCAUUCAGAGGCCAGUUUACUAACUGCUGACAUAGUCGAAGAUCCUUCCACUAUUUUACAGAUUAAAUGUGCAUCGGUGAUAUUUAUGCAUCGUCUUUAUUCCAUCUCUCCUCUGCUCUGAUGUCCCUUAUUUGUCUCCCUCGCUCCCUUCCCUUCGCUGUCCUGCAUUGCUUCACAGCAUCGGCAGCCAUGUUGGGUUACAUAAACCUCCAACCGGACUGUGCAGUGCAGUGCUUAAUGUCUGAAUCGAGUCAGAUCUUCAGAACGACCCGCUGAAGGAGGAGAGGGCCUUAUCCCCUGCCUGUCUAGUUACGUAACCAAAUUUAGGCAAUUAAGUUUUAACGGGCCACACUGACCUUUUAUUUUACGUCUCAAUUACAAGCUUCACAUUUUAGCAUGUUAGCUGCCCUCAGCACUACCUGCUUCAGCACUGGAACAAGUUCAUCAUCAGGCUUUCUCAAAGAUAGAUAAUACUGGUGGAGCAGGCAUUAUGUAACAAAAUGCUUUAUAAUCAAUGUAUUAUUUAGUGUGCAUUACAGUUAAAGUGACAAAUGAAAGAAACAAUUAGUUAUAAAAUAGAGUUGUUCAUAUUUAUAAGAAGCUUGUUAUUUAAUUAUUCAUUGAACAUAUGUGUAGAAUUGAUCUUAAACAGCUUGUCAGUUAAUCUUAAGUCAAGGUUCACUUACAAGGUUUUUCCCAGAGCUUUUGACCGAAUUCCACAGACAUCCUCAGUGAAUGACCAGUUCUAUAACUAGGUCACAUGAUGUCACCUGAGCAAUUUUUAUAUGCUAAAGGUGAAGGGAAUGGGAUAUAGUCAACAGCUCGGGAAGAAAAAGCUAAGUAAGUGAACCCUGAAUUAGGAAUAGUUUUUCACAAAUACUGACUUUUGUUUAUGAUUAGCUACUUUUUAAAUCAGUAGAGUCAUGUGAUAAUGUGUCUGGACAUUUUACAGAUAAUAUGUCUUUCGUUUAAAUAUGUAUUGUUGAUGUUGCUGUAUUUUGAAUAUAAAUAAAUGCAUAAAAGCAAAGCAAGAAACUAAAAGAAAUGUGUGAGGGUGUAUUUUGAUUUUGUCCACUUCAGAUGCCUACAGCAACUUGUGCUGCACGUAUCUAAAAUUGUAGUAAAUGUGUUCAUUUAACAUUUAUACCCUGACAUGGAGCUCUGUGUGUAAGUCUACUGCCCCAUAAACUAAGUUAUAUUAAAACAAACCAAAAUGUAGUUUUGUUUUGUUUGUUGUUUGUCGUCAGAGCUCAUCAAUUCAGGCU